rnacentral:rRNA from 1 species
AACGAACGCGGGCGGCGCGUCUUAAACAUGCAAGUCGAACGAUCUGUAGCAAUACAGGGAGUGGCGGACGGGUGAGGAACACGUAGGAAUCUACCUUGAAGAGCGGGACAACUUUGGGAAACCGGGGCUAAUACCGCAUAGUACAGAGAUGUUAAAGGGCUAGCAAUAGUCGCUUCGAGAUGAGCCUGCGGUCUAUCAGCUUGUUGGUGAGGUAAUGGCUCACCAAGGCUACGACGGAUAGCCGGUCUGAGAGGAUGAUCGGCCACACUGGCACUGAGACACGGGCCAGACUCCUACGGGAGGCAGCAGUUAAGAAUCUUGCGCAAUGGGGGAAACCCUGACGCAGCGACGCCGCGUGAAGGAUGAAGGCUUUCGGGUUGUAAACUUCGGUAGACUGGGAAGAAGAAAUACGUUCGUUGAGGGCGUAUAGUGACGGUACCAGUCUGAAGCCCCGGCUAAUUACGUGCCAGCAGCCGCGGUAAU